rnacentral:rRNA from 1 species
AGCUCCAAUAGCGUAUACUAAAAUUGCUGCAGUUAAAAAGCUCGUAGUUGGAAUCCUGGGUGCGGUGUGGCCCGGUCUGCCGUGAAGGUGUGCACUGGCUACGCCCCCCGCAAUCGCUCAGUAGCGCCCAUCUGAUCUUAACUGGUUGGGUGGGACCGCUCUGGGCCGUUUACUGUGAGUAAAUAAGGGUGUUUAAAGCAAGCAAUCGCUCUGAAUUCAAUAGCAUGGGAUAAUAGAACACGAGGCGCUGUGGUUUCGGUUGGUUGCCACAGCGCCUAAUGAUCAAUAGGAACGGUCGGGGGUAUUCGUAUUGAAUUGUCAGAGGUGAAAUUCUUAGAUUUAUGCAAGACGAACUACUGCGAAAGCAUCUGCCAAGGACGCUUUCA